AUACGGAGGGUGCAAGCGUUACUCGGAAUCACUGGGCGUAAAGCGCGCGCAGGCGGCCUGAUAAGUUGGAUGUGAAAGCCUACGGCUCAACCGUAGAACUGCAUCCAAAACUGUCAGGCUCGAGUGUGGGAGAGGAAGAUGGAAUUAGUUGUGUAGGGGUAAAAUCCGUAGAGAUAACUAGGAAUACCAAAAGCGAAGGCAAUCUUCUGGAACACUACUGACGCUGAGGCGCGAAGGCGUGGGGAGCAAACAGGAUUAGAAACCCCAGUAGUCC
rnacentral:rRNA from 1 species